GCCCGGUUAGCUCAGUUGGUAGAGCAUCAGACUUUUAAUCUGAGGGCCAUGGGUUCGGGUCCCAUAUCGGGCU
rnacentral:tRNA from 1 species